rnacentral:rRNA from 1 species
GUCGAGAAUCUUUCACAAUGGGGGCAACCCUGAUGGAGCGACGCCGCGUGGAGGAUAAGGUCUUCGGAUUGUAAACUCCUGUCAUGCGUGAACAAGGUUGCUUGGAUAAUACCUGAGCAAAUUGAUGGUAGCGCAAGAGGAAGAGACGGCUAACUCUGUGCCAGCAGCCGCGGUAAUACAGAGGUCUCAAGCGUUGUUCGGAAUCACUGGGCGUAAAGGGUGCGUAGGUGGCGUGGCAAGUCAGAUGUGAAAGCCCGGGGCUCAACCUCGGAACUGCAUCCGAUACUGCCAUGCUAGAGUACUGGAGGGGUGACUAGAAUUCUCGGUGUAGCAGUGAAAUGCGUAGAUAUCGAGAGGAAUACCAAAGGCGUAGGCAGGUCACUGGACAGUUACUGACACUGAGGCACGAAGGCCAGGGGAGCGAACGGGAUUAGAUACCCGGGUAGUCC